rnacentral:sRNA from 1 species
CCCUCCCGGGGAGCCAUUGUUCCUGAGGCGGGCGGGGGCGCGGGCCGGGGUCGGGGAUCCUUCUGGCUGGUCAGACGGCGCCGAGGAUGCUGGAGAGCGCUCCGGGACUGUGUCUCAGAAGCCCUUUGUGAGCCUUUCCCACGCGCCUUCUAACCCUGCACGAGCUCAGGUGGUCUUUCGUGGGUUUUCCAGGUGGAGGUAAAGGCAAAAGGUGACUUGUCCAAGGUGGCUGAACAAGACACAACGAUGAAUAAAUGAAGACAUUCAUUACAGCUUUUGUGUAAUAGUAAAAUAUGGCUCCGUUGGUCAUCAGUGGGACUGAGAACCACUACAGUGCUGUGCUGACUGGAUGCUCUGUGGACAACAAGAUAGAAAGCGGCAGAGCUACAGAGUUCAGCAAAGGAAGCGAGUGAGAGAAAGAGAGCUGACAGUGCCCAGGUAAACGGUGUCUGCCAAGUGUUAGCUCGGCGUGGGAACCUGCAAAUCAACUCCAGACAGGUCCGGAACACCAGGAUAUAAUGUAUAGGGUCCAUGACCCCGGCCACAGUUGUCACCCAGCCUGGACUCAGCCUUCAAGUUUAUGUUCUAAUUUAGCUUCCUGGAAUGAUUUGCUCACAGGGGAAAAGUGUCAAUCAAGGGCAUGGAUUUGGCUCAUGUGGUAAUUACCUUUCUCACUCCGCACAGCACUCUUCGUUUCAGACAGUUUCUUAUGACUUUUAAUUAACAAGAGCCAGUCCCUGAGAGUUCGGUCUACUCUGGGGACACCAGCUUCAGUGUUCUGCAAGCUAAGCAGCCCGGUCCCUAGAGCACCUGUGCAGCCCUGGAGCACAGUGUGCCCUCUGCUGACUGCAGUGAGCUUCCAUAUAAAGAGGUCACUUCCUGUCUUAAAAGAGUCGGGGACUGUUGAAAACCCAUCUCUGAACAUUUAUUUGCACUUGGGGACACGACAUACCCCUUGAGGCCAACCUUCUGAAACUACAAGUUAUCAUUACAACUUUGAUUAUAGAGAGUCUCUUCUUGAUUCUUCAGAACUAUGUGUCUAUGUGUGAUGGUUUGCUCUUUUCCACGGGAGUAUGCUAAGAUUCAAGUUUUGUCCUUAGGAUUUCCCUAAAAUGCCACAAAUAGAAAUUUUGGAUCACAGUGAUUACCGUUGUUUAAAAAAUCAGUAUGAAUCUGAGUGAACGCUAACGGGUGUUUGCUUUAUUUAGUCUCUGUGCUUCUGAUGCACCACUUUUUUUUUUUUUUUUGCUUCUUUUUUUUCGGAGCUGGGGACCGAACCCAGGGCCUUGCCCUUCCUAGGCAAGCGCUCUACCACUGAGCUAAAUCCCCAGCCCCUGAUGCACCACUUUUUAACGGUGCUGUAUUGCCUUUUAAAGAUUCUUUAAUUUAUCUUCACGUGUGUGUCUAUAUGAGGCUAUGUGUAUGAGCAUGUGGGUCCGUAUACACCAGAAAGGGCACAGAUCCCCAGAGACGGAGUUACAGCCAGUUGUACACUGCCCAGUGUGGGUGCUGGGAACAGAACUCUGGUCCUCUGAGGAGUAGUAGCAAGUGCUUGGAACCACAGAGCCAUCUCUCCAGCCACUAAUCUGGACUUCUGUUUUUAAUUAGAAAUAGUUUACUCAUUUAGCAAGCAUGGCCUUUUGAGAGACUUAAUGUAGUACCUGACACAGCAGGCCCUCAAUAAUAACUUUUUUUUUUCUUUUUUUCGGAGCUGGGGACCGAACCCAGGGCCUUGCGCUUGCUAGGCAAGUGCUCUACCGCUGAGCUAAAUCCCCAACCCCAAUAAUAACUUUUUAAAAGACCGGGUUGAGUCAGUGAAUAUAAAUCUUCACAAAUUUCCUUUAAUAAAGUGGAGAUAGUUUGAGCUAAGCAACCGGAGUGCCUCAUGAAUGGCAUGAUACACAUGCAGCUCUUUAUGGUUGAGCAAUAACCGUAAAGAGAGACAGCACAAAACCACGUACUUCUGUUCUGGAUGCCCUAUGCAACACCCCAGCCCGAUACCGUCAUUUUUACGUUUCCUCACUAGUAACCAUUUUACAAUUCAAUCCCAAGCUGCUCCAGCCAGUGUAGCGCGCUGUGUGCGUGCGUGCGGGG